rnacentral:rRNA from 1 species
GACGAACGCUGGCGGCGUGCUUAACACAUGCAAGUCGAACGGACGAGUGAGAUAAGUUUACUUAACUCACAAGUUAGUGGCGGACGGGUGAGUAACACGUGGAUAAUCUACCUGCAACACCGGGAUAACGCUGUGAAAACGGUGCUAAUACCGGAUACGUUCCCUUGUGCGCAUGUAUGAGGGAAGAAAGCUCAGGCGGUUGCAGAUGAGUCCGCGGCUGAUUAGCUAGUUGGUGAGGUAAAGGCUCACCAAGGCGAUGAUCAGUAGCCGGCCUGAGAGGGUGAACGGCCACACUGGGACUGAGACACGGCCCAGACUCCUACGGGAGGCAGCAGUGGGGAAUCUUCCGCAAUGGGCGCAAGCCUGACGGAGCAACGCCGCGUGGGUGAAGAAGGCCUUCGGGUUGUAAGCCUGUCUUAUGGAAGAAGUCAGUGACGGUACCAUAGGAGGAAGCCACGGCUAACUACGUGCCAGCAGCCGCGGUAAUAGUACU